AUUUCUUUGACUAUCUUUGUAGAUAUAUACAAACUUUGAAGUCCUGGAAUCAAUGAAAAAUAUCUCAAAAUCUUUUGAGGUAUCUUCUUUGCUUUCCUAUUAUUGAUUUUGUAUCUAAGCUCACCAUAUUUCAGACAUUCAGUUAUCUGUUCGUUAUCCUUAUAAAAUAAUAUACAGUUAUUUUUGCAGGCAUGUAUAG
rnacentral:lncRNA from 1 species